rnacentral:rRNA from 1 species
AUGAUAUCUUGUGCAAGCAGACCGCUCUCAAGGCUACAAGGUUGGGGGAGCGACCCUGCCGUUGUCAUGAUGACUGCUCCUUCUGGCCGGAUCGAGGCACGAAGACCUGUGGGAUCCCCUCCUUCGGCAGGACCUCCUCAUCUGAUUGCACUCUUGCAUGGACAGAGAGUGGAGCGCCAGCUUCAGUUUCUCAUCUGA